rnacentral:rRNA from 1 species
AUUGAACGCUGGCGGCAUGCUUUACACAUGCAAGUCGAACGGUAACAGGGUGCUUGCACCGCUGACGAGUGGCGAACGGGUGAGUAAUACAUCGGAACGUGCCCAGUCGUGGGGGAUAACGUAGCGAAAGCUACGCUAAUACCGCAUACGAUCUAAGGAUGAAAGCGGGGGAUCGCAAGACCUCGCGCGAUUGGAGCGGCCGAUGGCAGAUUAGGUAGUUGGUAGGGUAAAGGCCUACCAAGCCGACGAUCUGUAGCUGGUCUGAGAGGAUGAUCAGCCACACUGGGACUGAGACACGGCCCAGACUCCUACGGGAGGCAGCAGUGGGGAAUUUUGGACAAUGGGCGCAAGCCUGAUCCAGCCAUUCCGCGUGCAGGAUGAAGGCCUUCGGGUUGUAAACUGCUUUUGUACAGAGCGAAAAGGCUCUGGUUAAUACCCGGGGCUCAUGACGGUACUGUAAGAAUAAGCACCGGCUAACUACGUGCCAGCCGCCGCCGUAA